rnacentral:rRNA from 1 species
AUUGAACGCUGGCGGCAUGCCUUACACAUGCAAGUCGAACGGUAACGGGCCUUCGGGUGCCGGCGAGUGGCGAACGGGUGAGUAAUACAUCGGAACGUGCCCGAUCGUGGGGGAUAACGAGGCGAAAGCUUUGCUAAUACCGCAUACGAUCUACGGAUGAAAGCAGGGGACCGCAAGGCCUUGCGCGGACGGAGCGGCCGAUGGCAGAUUAGGGAGUUGGUGGGAUAAAAGCUUACCAAGCCGACGAUCUGUAGCUGGUCUGAGAGGAUGAUCAGCCACACUGGGACUGAGACGCGGCCCAGACUCCUACGGGAGGCAGCAGUGGGGAAUUUUGGACAAUGGGCGCAAGCCUGAUCCAGCCAUGCCGCGUGCAGGAUGAAGGCCUUCGGGUUGUAAACUGCUUUUGUACGGAACGAAAAGCCUUCUUUUAAUACAGGAGGGUCAUGACGGUACCGUAAGAAUAAGCACCGGCUAACUACGUG